UUUAUUCGUCGCGGCUGUUAAGAUAAAGUUUACUCUUCUUUUUCUCUAAAGCGGAUAAGCUUUCUUCUUCCAGUCUCUAUUCUCCAACCGACAUCGGUGGGCUACCAUACCCACGGCGUCAGUUUGGUUUAUGUUGUUUUAAUUUCUUCUUUCCUUUCCUUUGCUCUCUUCAGUUUUUUGUUAUCAAAACCUGGGUUGUUAGUUUCAGAUCUUGAUUAGAUCGAUAGAUCUAAAAGUCUUACUUGGAUUUGGCUCUUAAUUUGGAUGCAUGCAUGUGGGGAUCCUUCUAGUCCCUGGUUGUGGUCAGCUUAUAUGCCGUCUUUGGUCUUGCAGCUCAAGCUCCGCUCUCCUCUUUUCUGAAUUUUUAUGCGGUUUGCCUUGUCUCGCCUUGGGUGGUGAAGCGUUCGGGUCUAGAUGGAGUGCUUAUCCUUGAUAUUGAUAGAAACGGUUUAAUUGCGGUUGUGAAAGUUUCUUCCGUCUUCAUUAUACCAGCUUCAUUCAGUGGAUUUGGAGCUUUGGCUCUUUUACCCUUAGUCGUUGGAAGUCGUUUGGUCAAAUCAGGUUCUUACCUUGUCUUCCAUGGAUUGUUUGAUGCAUGUCUUGCUCGUGGCUCCUUUCGAUGUAUGGAGCAAUAUAAUGAGUUCUUGUGUGUUCUUGGUUUAAGCUCAAUCAAAUCCAUCUUUCCAUUGUCUUCACCUUGUCAUAAGGUGUUAUAUGUUUAUCUGAUCUGAUUUCUGUAUCUUAGGUUUUGAUUCAGUUCCCUUAUGUUGUUGUUGUUUUAGUCUCCCUUUCUUAGAGGUGUUUUAUCCAGGAGAACUUGUUCUUGCUGGCUCUGGGUUCUACAAAUGCAUUCCACCAUGUAAUUUCCCUUGCAGUUAAUAUAAUUCUAGUGUUAGAAAAAAAAAACACUAGUGAUUCUCCAACAAGAGUUGAGUAUUGCAAGUUUGCAACACUUUCACUUGAAUUCGCCAUAGUGUUUUGAAUUUAUGUCAGUAGGUUCUUGUAUACUUUAAAACCUCUAUAAAUUAAUAUUGUUGGGACUUUAAAAUUUUAUUAAUUUAAAAAAUUUUCCUUACUUAGAUUUCUUAUUUUAAGAUAUAUUUAUUUUAAGAUAAGAAACAUAUUUAUUUUAAUUAUUAUUUUUUGAAAUUUGACAUUCAUAUUAAUUUUAUUAUUUUAUUCGGUGUAUAUAAUAUAUAUUGCAUAGAAUUGAAAUGUUGUUUUAGAUAGAAUAUUACAAAAUCUCAUCAAAAUAAAUUAAGUGUUAAGAAAAUAUAAAGAUAAUUCCAUUGUGAAUAUAAAACAAGCCAUAAAAUUAUUGUUCUUACUUAUAUAAAAUAGGUAUACAUAUAGAUUAUAAAUUUAUAAUUUUAAUGGGACCAUAUAUUUACAUAGAAUUUUCUAAAAAUAUUAUCUUAUUAUUUUAUUGAUUUGUGUCAAAUUUUGAAACGGUCUAAGUUGGGACCAGCGAAAUUUAUUAAUUUAUAGAGAUUAUUAAUUUAUCAAGUUUUAAUUUAUAGAGGUUCUAUUGUAUUUAGUGUUUAGGUAGGGUAAUUUUAUUUGAAAUUUUCCAUAAAAUCUUUAUAAAAUCGCACCGAACUUCCUAUAAGUUAUAAGCAAGAGAAUCAUGAUGUCACCGUAUGAAAUCAGAACCAGAUUUUCGGGCUCGAGCUGUGAAAGUAUCUCCACGCUUUUAUCUUACAGCUUGAAGUGCUAGUACGGAAAUACUUAAAAUUGUUGCACUUUAUAGGAGUUUUUGCCAAAACUAACCCACAACUUGAUUUUAACCUCAAUCAUAUACCCAAACUUGAAUCAAAUGCAAAACUAACCUAAAAGCCUUGUGAAAUUACAGCUCAGCUCCUUGUGACCAAACAAAAAAACAUAAGAUAUUUUUAUGAAUAUAGCCCUAGUAAGUCGUCUGAGUCGUCUGAGAUGUUGGAAGUCGUCUGGACAACUUCAAAAUAAGUCUUCUGGUGUAGCUGAUCUUAAAAAUAAUUUAUAAAUUUUUUUAAAAACAUUUUGAUAAGCGAAAAAUUAAAAUCAUGUAAUUAUAAACAGUUUUAAGUGAUAUAAAUUAAAAUAUAACAAAAUUGAAUUGUUUUCAACAUAGAUGAGUGUAGGUAGUAAAUCAUGGUAUUCUUUGGUCUAGGGUUUGGGAACAUAUGUUAUAGUAUUGUAUGUAUUCUUAGGGUUAGAUUUUGGAAAGCUUGAAUGUUUUUUUGAAAAAUUAAUUUUUUACUUAUACGUAUUUAUUUUUGUGUAUAGUAAACACUUUUGAAGUUUAAUUUGAUUUUAUGAAGUUUUUAGUUAGUUAAUUAAGUUAAGGGGUUAUGUUUAGGGUCUAGACGACUUACAUUUUAGUCGUCUGGUGAAAAAAUUAAAACAGACGACUUACAUGUAAGUCGUCCAAAUAUUCCCGCCUAAAAUAGCGGGAAAUUAAAUAUUUUUAGCGGGAAACUAAAAUAGAAGACUUAGCCGAGAAGCCCGUAGGCAUCCGAGCAGCCGCUGAGCCGAACGUACUUCAGUCGAUGAUGAUCAACCAAAAGUACUCAAGGGUCAAGCCGAGAAACCUGACUCUUGAGCCGACCGAUCGAGCCGUCGCUCGUCCUAAUCCGGGCCAAGCCUUCCUAUUCUUCGGGCCUUGUGGGAUGGUCAAAUCCAUCCUCUACAAUAAUGAGUUCUUGUGUGUUCUUGGUUUAAGCUCAAUCAAAGCCAUCUUUCGAUUGUCUUCACCUUGUCCUAAGGUGUUAUUUGUUUUAUCUGAUCUGAUUUCUGUAUCUUAGGUUUUGAUUCAGUUCCCUUAUGUUGUUGUUGUUUUAGUCUCCCUUUCUUAGAGGUGUUUUAUCCAGGAGAACUUGUUCUUGCUGGCUCUGGGUUCUACAAAUGCAUUCCACCAUGUAAUUUCCCUUGCAGUUAAUAUAAUUCUAGUGUUAGAAAAAAAAAACACUAGUGAUUCUCCA
rnacentral:lncRNA from 1 species